rnacentral:lncRNA from 1 species
AUGGUAUGGAAGAGACCAGCUUUUGCUGUUGGAGGGACUGGUUUUUAUACAGGACUCGAGCUUCAGACAGACGUGGGUAUCAAUGUCCCCCAAGGCUCGUUCCCUCCUCUAGCUACUGGAUACCAGAAGACCCUUAGGACAGAGGUCCCCUCGACCACGCACCUGAUGACCCAACAUGCACUUGCAACACCAUGCUCAUGCAGGGAGAAACUUCACGUCCUGUUCUCAUACGAGGAACAGGCGUGCACGGACGUGACGCAUGAAUGCAAACAAUGGCCCUUAAAUGUUGUUCACCUUCAGAAAGCCGUUGGUGUGCCUGAUUUCAACUGGUCUCCUUGCCAUGUGCUUUUUCUUACUCCAACGCGAUAA